GACUUUGGACAGCAAUGUCAGACUUUAUUGAAAACAAACCCAUGUAAAAACAAAGUUAAAAUGAAAAAAAAAAUGGUACCUGAAAAAUAAAUUAUUUCAUAUAAAACAAAUCAAUAACUCAAAACACACUAAUAUACAAAAAUGUCUAGCCAUCUAGUGUACAACAUGGGAAUCAGCUGGUAGAAGCCCUCCCCUCCCCCAAAGUAAGCCACUGUGAGGGAAACAGCAUGUGGGAAGAGAGGUGGUCCAAACCAACCAACCAGCCUUCUUUUCUGGGGGAGGGGAACAGAAAAGCACAGUCCUCUCAAAGUCUCCACCAGCCUAAUGCAAAUACUUGGCAGCUGGUGACUCACAAGUAAUAAAUAAAUAAAUAGGUAAAUAAAUAAGUAAAUAAAUAAAUAAAUAUUUCAUGACUGAGAGAAAGAAAUUGAACCACAUCAGCAGAAGGUUAUGGGAAAAUGUAAUACAAUCAUUAUUAAAGGUCAAGGGUGGGGGGUGGGAGGGUCCUUAUUUAGGAUGGAAAUGCAUGCUCUGUUGUCCCCCCUAAGAAUGUGUCAAAUGCCACCCAACAGUAAGCACUCAUGACUUUGGGGUACUCUGGGAAAAUUUGGAAACAGGAUUCCUGACCCCUUGAGUGUCCCAGUGGGUGAGGCAGUUCCUGGAAAGAGGAAGGACAAGGUGUUGGGGAUGGAGGAGGCAGAGGCCCUUUCAGUGUACUCAUUCUUUCACUCAAUAUAGGAAAGCUGGCUACACAAAGCAUCGAGAGAUUAAAAUCUUGCUGAAACAUGCGAACUGGAAGAGCUCAGUUACUUCAACUUUGAUUUCCAAACCUAACACCUGACUGAAGUAGGUCACAUCCUUUCAACACAUUACUUUAUAGACAAAUGGCUAUUAUUUGGAGGCAACCCAAGAUAGGUAAAACUGCUACUGUCUUGGAGGCUCAUUUAUUUCUCUGACCCAGCAGGCUUCUCCUUAAAUGCCAGCUGGGGGAUUCCAGUUUUAGCUCCUUAUAGCAAGGAGGAGGUCCAGUCUGAAGCUGUGUAGGAGGAGCUCCUUAACUACUCACGCCACGAAAAGGUUAAGGCAACAUUGAGGGAGACAGAGUCCAUUCAGUACAGCGGCAUCAUACCCCACCUCCUAGGGAAGUCCAGUUCUCAGGUAUUCAAGGAAGAUGGUAGCUGCUCAGAGUAUGGGGAGGAGGAGCACAGUCACAGCACUGUGACCAGAGGCACAGCCAGGAUGGCUUGGCAUGUUACCUAGGAAAGCUUCAACUUGGGGAGAGAAUCACUCCAGAAAGAAACAGGUAACCCAACCAGAAGUAGGCGGAAGAAUCUGGAGGAGGUUCAACAAAUAACCCACUACCAGAGGAGGUCAAGAACUCAGUCAGCCUCUUUGGUAUUGGCCAAACCAUAUUUUUGACGAUUGAACAUUACCUAUUCUGUAUAUUUUUUUUUCUGUUACACUUCUCAACAAAAGAAAUGCCCUUAACUUGUUCAAUAAAAACAAGAUAAAUUUUCUGCUAAAAAAACAAAACAAAACAAACCCUUUCUCUGGGUUGUGACUUUUUCUCCAACGCUGGGAAUGGAACUCAGGGCUUCCCUCAUGCUUGUCAAGUGCUUUAAUCUCUGAGCUACAGACAUGUCUGGAUUCUGGAAUGUUCUCUUCCUAGUAAGCCUGAUAAGCUGUCAUGUACCAUGAGCCUGGGCCCAGCACUGGUCCUUUCACAGAAUGAAAAUGGCCUUCAGGAGUGCCUUUCCACAGCCAACGUAGAAAGCACAUCAAGCAAUGCACUGGGACUUUUACCUAGAACAUUGCCCUGACAGUAGAGAUCACACAGAAAGAGAAUUUCAAUGAACCUGAAGUAACCUCCAGAAGCUGGUGAGAUUUGCCCAUUUCCUCUCUGAGUUACUAUGGAGUAAACAGGUAUCUGGGUGGUGGGGAUGGAAUAGCGACUGAGGUGCUGGCUCUGAGCACCAGGUACUUUAAAGACAGUCCCUUCUGGGAGUGGAAUACUAAGGCUGCAGAACUGAGGAGAAACCCGGAAACAGUUGGAUGGAAAAUCCGACCUUCACUCAGAAGAAUGUUGGCCUAAGAAACUGGAAAUCUUAUUUUAUUAGAACAUUCUGGUCCCACAGGGAGGAGCACUUGGCACCAUCAGAGCAGGGGACCCCUCUCUUUUUUUGGUCAGAUCUGGGCAUAUGAGCCUUUGGCUCUGGGUUUCAGGUCCUAUAGGCUGGGGAUUCUGGGAUGGAGUGAGGUACCAAGCAGCACUUGGCUCACUUGGCGUGGACAAAGCCUGAGUACAGGAGGCGACCUCAUCAAUAGGAGAAAACACUGCAAAGAGCCCCUCCAGGGAAGUCAGGAAAAGGAGGCAGGGGAGGGAACAGGCAGCCUCAGAUUGUACGAGGGCUUCUUGACACACUGACCUGCUUUAGAGAUGGAUGUGCUUUUUGCUCAGUUUUCCACUUAAGUAAAUGAAACAAAAUAAAUAGCUAUAUGUAUAUAUAUAUAUAUAUAUAUAAGUAAACAAAUAUAUAAAUAAUGCUAUCAUACCAUGAUAUCAAGAACUAAAUACUAGCCUGCUGUUAUACACUCCAGGCUCACAUCAAAGUGAAGAGCUGCCAGUAACUGCACUAGCCUGUUCUCAUCCUCUCCACACACUAAUAAAAAUCAGAGCAGUCCUGAGGCUGUAGAGGUCAGGCCUCGUCUGCUCUCAAGACCUUCCCUCUGACCUUUCCUACCAGCUCCCGAGUUAAGAACCAUUGAUCCAUAGCUGUGUUUCUAUACCAUAGCUCCAGAAAUGCUUUUUAAACUUGAGGCAAGUGUUUAAGGUCUGACAGACUCCUCCCUGGAUGCUGGGCUGUCUGUGUCCUUCCCUAGCCAAAAAAGAAAGAAAAGGUAAAACAAAAAACAAAACAAAACUCGAGCAAAACAAAAUCAAAUUUAAUGGUCUUAAAUGCAAAAGUAAAAACAAACAAAAAACACAAAAAAGCAAAAGAAAAUUAACAGAACAGAACCCCAAACGUCAAGGCAGUUAUGAAGAGAACUUUGAGGGUUAAUCCUUAAAACUACAAAUCAAAGGUUUGUGUUAAUAGAUAACUGGCAAGAAGUACUUUUCUGCUGAGUGUCCAUACAAAAGCAAAAUUUCAAAGCAAAAAUCUAAGAUUGGAAAAAGCCUAGUGCUCACAAGAAGGGAUGCGAGAAAUACAAUGCUCAAAUGUUCUGUGUCAUUAAAAACAGAGCAGUCAUUGUGCAUUCAAGCUAGGUUAAAUGGUCUCAGAAACUCGGGAAGUUGCAUGAACAAUAGUAUCUGAUGUGUGGGCACCAUGCAUGCAAUGUGUGGACAGACACUCAGGAUGUCAGAGGAGGGGGCAUCUUCAGGCAUGCCUGGAGCUCAGGCUUGACUCUGGAAUAUACUGGAGCUGCCCUGAAACUCUUUGGUCCGUUCUCACUGGUGCCUGGGCUUACAA
ensembl:lncRNA